rnacentral:lncRNA from 1 species
AUUCAAAUUUUUUAUAUGCUACUAAAUAUACACAAAAAUUUAUUCAUAUAUUUAGUAAGAGAUAAGUAUAAACUUAAUAAAAAUUUAUAAUAGCAAAGCCACAACAUUAGUAAUUUCCACAUGCUAUAUACCUAAAUAAAUAUUUGAUCAUAAUUGUAUGCCACUGGAAAAAUAUUAAUAUCAUAAAUGAUAUUAAUAUUGCAGUUAGAAUUUGCUGAUUUAAAUAAAUGCAGUAUAGCUAUUUAUCAUUAUAAUCAUUUCCCAGUUUGAUUUUUUUUCCUUAUGUAACUUUAACUUAUUUCAGUACUUGCUUUUUAUAGCAGCCUUAGUGAGAAAAGGGAAUUGAUACUUUUAUGCCUUGGUGAGAAACAAUUGGUUACUGAUACACACAAGCAAUGUAUGUAUUGGUGCACAUCAUUUUUUCACCAAAGCCACUAUGGCAAGAAAGCGGAAUUUGCAUGUUUUUCCCCUUGGUGAAACAAAUAGUUACUGAUACACACAAACAAUGUGUGUAUCAGUGCAGAUCAACAAUCCUACAGUUACCAAUCUGCAUGUGCACAGGUGCAGAUUGCUUUCUCACCAAGGCCACUAUAAAAAGAAAGUUCCUUAUUUCUAAUUAAAAAAAAAAAAUGUUGCAGUCAGCAUAUUAAUUUGAAAUUAUUUUUUUGUUUCUGCAAUCUAUUCAUCAAGAGAGAUGUAUUAUAAGAAAACACAAUAUCAUGAUAUUUGAG